UGGUUUUCCAGACUGUCAGCAAUGCUU
rnacentral:piRNA from 1 species